UACGGGGGGUGCAAGCGUUGAUCGGAUUGACUGGGCGUAAAGGGAGCGUAGGCGGUUUGAAAAGUAGGAUGUGAAAUCUUGAGGCUUAACCUCAAAACUGCAUCCUAAACUUUCAAACUAGAGGGUGGUAGGGGAAAACAGAAUUCUGCAUGUAGCGGUGAAAUGCGUAGAUAUGCAGAGGAAUACCGGUGGCGAAGGCGGUUUUCUGUACCAUUCCUGACGCUGAGGCUCGAAAGUAUGGGGAGCAAACAGG
rnacentral:rRNA from 1 species